rnacentral:tRNA from 1 species
GCCCGCGUUGUCUAAUGGUUAUGACGUCAGACUUCUAAUCUGGAGGUUGCGGGUUCGAAUCCCGCCGUGGGUU